GCAAUGCCGCGUGUGUGAAGAAGGCCUCUCGGGUUGUAAAGCACUUUUGUCUGGAAAGAAAUCCUUGGCUCUAAUACAGUCGGGGGAUGACGGUACCGGAAGAAUAAGCACCGGCUAACUACGUGCCAGCAGCCGCGGUAAUACGUAGGGUGCGAGCGUUAAUCGGAAUUACUGGGCGUAAAGCGUGCGCAGGCGGUUUGCUAAGACCGAUGUGAAAUCCCCGGGCUCAACCUGGGAACUGCAUUGGUGACUGGCAGGCUAGAGUAUGGCAGAGGGGGGUAGAAUUCCACGUGUAGCAGUGAAAUGCGUAGAGAUGUGGAGGAAUACCGAUGGCGAAGGCAGCCCCCUGGGCCAAUACUGACGCUCAUGCACGAAAGCGUGGGGAGCAAACAGGAUUAGAUACCCUGGUAGUCCACGCCCUAAACGAUGUCAACUAGUUGUUGGGGAUUCAUUUCCUUAGUAACGUAGCUAACGCGUGAAGUUGACCGCCUGGGGAGUACGGUCGCAAGAUUAAAACUCAAAGGAAUUGACGGGGACCCGCACAAGCGGUGGAUGAUGUGGAUUAAUUCGAUGCAACGCGAAAAACCUUACCUACCCUUGACAUGGUCGGAAUCCUGCUGAGA
rnacentral:rRNA from 1 species